UAGGGAAUCUUCCACAAUGGACGAAAGUCUGAUGGAGCAAUGCCGCGUGAGUGAAGAAGGUUUUCGGAUCGUAAAACUCUGUUGUGAGGGAAGAACAAGUAUGAGAGUAACUGCUCGUACCUUGACGGUACCUCAUUAGAAAGCCACGGCUAACUACGUGCCAGCAGCCGCGGUAAUACGUAGGGGGCAAGCGUUGUCCGGAUUUAUUGGGCGUAAAGCGCGCGCAGGCGGUUCUUUAAGUCUGGUGUCUAAGUGCGGGGCUCAACCCGUGAUGCACUGGAAACUGGGGAACUUGAGUGCAGAAGAGGAGAGCGGAAUUCCACGUGUAGCGGUGAAAUGCGUAGAGAUGUGGAGGAACACCAGUGGCGAAGGCGGCUCUCUGGACUGUAACUGACGCUGAGGCGCGAAAGCGUGGGGGAGCAAACAGGAUUAGAUACC
rnacentral:rRNA from 1 species